rnacentral:rRNA from 1 species
UCUGGCGGCAGUAGCGCGGUAGUCCCCACCUGACCCCAUGCCGAGCUCAGAAGUGAAACACCGUAGCGCCGAUGGUAGUGUAAGUGCUCCCCAUGCGAAAGGUAGGAACUGCCGGAA